rnacentral:lncRNA from 1 species
UGGGUGACCAUAAGAUAACUAAGAACUAGGAAGUAAAUCGUCGCCAAUAAAGUGAAGAGAAAGGCCAGCAUCCAUGGUUCCAAAAGCCUUGUGAAUCUCUGUCAUCUUCUCAGGGCAAAGAGUCUGCAUAUCAUGAACGCGAAAGAGAAUUGCACGAAGCUCAUUAAUUAAGGGUUUUGAGUUUCGGAGUUCUUCCACAUAGUUCAGACGU